CAUAGAUGCUAUACCUGUUUUUAAAAAAGACGAUUGGCAAUAGUCUGUUUGGAAACAAGUGUUUACCUGCAAAAGAUAGAUUAAAAAUAACUGUGGUCUAUUCUUAUAAUCAGUAAUAGACAUUUAUGAAUGACACCUGCUUGGAUCCAUAUAGAUGCAAAACUCAAAAGGUUAUUUUCAUGUUAUUUCAGCUAGACUAGUUUGAAGUUAUGUACUUACUAUGGAAUGGCAUGACUUCAUGUUGUGUGCAAAUGUGAUGAGGGGCAAAGAAAAGUAAGGGCAGGCGAAACCCCAAAUUCAAGAUUGUAGGAAGGGGUAAGAUCAGGGAGGUACUCACAGAUGAUGAACAAGGUUUCCAUCUUUCUACCUAGGUACUGGCUACAAAGUGUGGCAUGAAUGAUGGCCUCAAUGAUCUCUGUCCCCUGGUGUUACACCUGUGAUUAUGUCACUUAAUAUUGCAAAAGGAUUUUAUAGUUGUAAUUAAGGUGACUAGUCAGUUGAUUCCGAGUUAAUCAAAAGGGAGAUUGUCUGGGUGGUCUAACCUGAUCACUUAAACCCUUUAAAAGCAAAGCAUUUUCUUGAGCUAGUUGCAGAACAAGAAGUCAGAGAUUCAACACAUGAGAAGAGUUUGAUUGACAUGUCACUGCUUUCUUGAUGACAGAGGGGGCCACACGUCAAAGAAGUGAGGACUUAAAUCCUACAGUUGCAAGGAACUGAAUUCUGCCAAGAAUAAACUUGGAAAAUGACUCUUCCCCAGAGCCUCCAAUGAGAAUUCAGCUUGGCCAUAACCCUGAUUGCAUCCUUGUGAUAACUUCAGCAGAGAGCCCUCCAGCCAUGCUGGACCUCCAUACAGAACUUGUGCUUGAAUUAAAUCCAUUAUAACCAAAGAAGGCAUUUGAACAUGGAAUAAAGUUGGCUUGACUGCCUGUAUCCUGACCCCAUCAAGCAUGGAAUCACUACUAACAACAUACGUGAAACAUGAUCAAAAACCCUGGAAGUUUAAGACAGCAACUCCAUUGACUCCAACAGGCACUUCAACAGAUUUUAACAGAUGUGAGAUGAAUGACACAAAAUAAAUAAAACCUAAUGUGAACAAUCAGCCACAAGAUGGCAUUUGAAUACUAAUGUAUUUAAAGUUUGGGGCAGUAACUUAAACACAUGGCUAUUUUAAUCUUUUCCUUUCCCCGGUCACUUUUUCUCAUAUUGUCAUGUAAGAAGAUCACAACUUUAUUUUCCCUGUAGCCUAAGUCAUAAACAUUUAUUUAUCAGCUUACUUUUUAUCUCUUGUGAUGGUUGAUUUUAUGUGUCAAUUUCACUGGGUCAGGAGGUGCUCAGAUAUUUGGUCAUUUUCUGUGUGUUUCUGUGGGGGUAUUUUUGGAUGAAAUUAAUAUUAAAUUGGUAGACUGAAUAAAGCAGAUUGCUGUUUAUAA